rnacentral:rRNA from 1 species
GGAGUGAAAUAGAUCCUGAAACCGCAUGCAUACAAACAGUGGGAGCCUCGCAAGGGGUGACUGCGUACCUUUUGUAUAAUGGGUCAGCGACUUACGUUCAGUUGCGAGCUUAACCGAAUAGGGGAGGCGCAGCGAAAGCGAGUCUGAACAGGGCGUUCAGUAGCUGGGCGUAGACCCGAAACCGGAUGAUCUAUCCAUGGCCAGGUUGAAGGUGCGGUAACACGCACUGGAGGACCGAACCCACUAGUGUUGCAAAACUAGGGGAUGAGCUGUGGAUAGGGGUGAAAGGCUAAACAAAUCCGGAGAUAGCUGGUUCUCCUCGAAAACUAUUUAGGUAGUGCCUCGUGUAUCACUCUCGGGGGUAGAGCACUGUAAUGGUUGGGGGGGUCGUCUAGACCUACCCCGCCAUAGCAAACUCCGAAUACCGAGAAGUGCGAGCACGGGAGACAGACGGUGGGUGCUAACGUCCAUCGUCAAGAGGGAAACAACCCAGACCCACAGCUAAGGUCCCAAAUGAUGUGCUGAGUGGAAAACGAAGUGGGAAGGCAUAGACAGCCAGGAAGUUGGCUUAGAAGCAGCCAUCCUUUAAAGAAAGCGUAAUAGCUCACUGGUCGAGUCGUCCUGCGCGGAAGAUGUAACGGGGCUAAGCACAUAACCGAAGCUUGGGAUAUGCACUUGUGCAUAUGGUAGAGGAGCGUUCCGUAGGCCUGUGAAGGUGUCCUGUGAGGGGUGCUGGAGGUAUCGGAAGUGCGAAUGCUGACAUGAGUAGCGAUAAAACGGGUGAAAGUCCCGUUCGCCGGAAGCCCAAGGUUUCCUGCGCAACGUUCAUCGGCGCAGGGUGAGUCGGCCCCUAAGGCGAGGCUGAGAAGCGUAGUCGAUGGGAAACAGGUUAAUAUUCCUGUACCGCUCUUCAAUGCGAUGGGGGGACGGAGAAAGGUAGGCCAGCCGGGUGUUGGAAGUCCCGGUUUAAGCGUGUAGGCGUGCCCUCUAGGCAAAUCCGGAGGGCUUAGCUGAGGCGUGAUGACGAGGUCCCAUGUGGACUGAAGUGGUUGAUCCUAAGCUUCCAAGAAAAGCCUCUAAGCUUCAGUUGAAGAGUGACCGUACCGCAAACCGACACAGGUGGGCAGGGUGAGAAUCCUAAGGCGCUUGAGAGAACUCUGGAGAAGGAACUCGGCAAAUUGACACCGUAACUUCGGGAAAAGGUGUGCCUCGGUAGAGUCAGAGCCCUCGCGGCAGCAGCUCGAUGAGGUUGCAGUGAAAAGGUGGCUGCGACUGUUUAACAAAAACACAGCACUGUGCAAACACGAAAGUGGACGUAUACGGUGUGACGCCUGCCCGGUGCCGGAAGGUUAAGUGAUGGGGUGCAAGCUCUUGAUCGAAGCCCCGGUAAACGGCGGCCGUAACUAUAACGGUCCUAAGGUAGCGAAAUUCCUUGUCGGGUAAGUUCCGACCCCUUUGACGGGACAUGUGUAGGAUAGGUGGGAGGCUGUGAAGCGGUGACGCCAGUUAUCGUGGAGCCAACCUUGAAAUACCACCCUUGUGUCUUUGAGGUUCUAACCUAGACCCCUUAUCGGGGUCGGGGACCGUGCAUGGUAGGCAGUUUGACUGGGGCGGUCUCCUCCCAAAAGGUAACGGAGGAGCACGAAGGUUGGCUAGACACGGUCGGAAAUCGUGUUGAUAGUGCAAGGGCAUAAGCCAGCUUAACUGCGAGACCCACAAGUCGAGCAGAUGCGAAAGCAGGUCCUAGUGAUCCGGUGGUUCUGUAUGGAAGGGCCAUCGCUCAACGGAUAAAAGGUACUCUGGGGAUAACAGGCUGAUUCCGCCCAAGAGUUCACAUCGACGGCGGAGUUUGGCACCUCGAUGUCGGCUCAUCUCAUCCUGGGGCUGUAGCCGGUCCCAAGGGUAUGGCUGUUCGCCAUUUAAAGAGGUACGUGAGCUGGGUUCAAAACGUCGUGAGACAGUUUGGUCCCUAUCUGCCGUGGGCGCUGGAGAUUUGACGGGGGCUGCUCCUAGUACGAGAGGACCGGAGUGGACGAACCUCUGGUGUACCGGUUAUCACGCCAGUGGUAUCGCCGGGUAGCUAAGUUCGGAAGAGAUAAACGCUGAAAGCAUCUAAGCGUGAAACUCGCCUGAAGAUGAGAUCUCCCGGAGGCUUGACCUCCUUGAAGGGUCGUUGAAGACCACAACGUUGAUAGGCUGGGUGUGGAAGCGCAGUAAUGCGUUAAGCUAACCAGUACUAAUUGCCCGUAAGGCUUGACCCUAUAACCUU